AUUGAACGCUGGCGGCAGGCCUAACACAUGCAAGUCGAGCGGAGCGGCGGACGGGUGAGUAAUGCCUAGGAAUCUGCCUGGUAGUGGGGGAUAACGUCCGGAAACGGGCGCUAAUACCGCAUCCUAUCAGCUGAGCCUAGGGCGGAUUAGCUAGUUGGGGGGGUAAAGGCCUACCAAGGCGACGAUCCGUAACUGGUCUGAGAGGAUGAUCAGUCAAGCUGGAACUGAGACACGUGCCAGACCCCAACGGGAGGCAGAAGUGGGAAAAAUUAGACAAGGGGCGAAAGCCUGAGCCAGCCUUGCCGGGGGUGUGAAGAAGGUCUGAGGAUGGUAAAGAACUUUAAGUAGGGAGGCGUUACCAACAGAAUAAGCACCGGCAAACUGCGUGCAAGCAGCGCGGUAAUUC
rnacentral:rRNA from 1 species